rnacentral:rRNA from 1 species
UACGUAGGUGGCAAGCGUUGUCCGGAUUUACUGGGCGUAAAGGGCGUGCAGGCGGUUCGUUAAGUUCAGGGUGAAAGCUCCCGGCUCAACUGGGAGAGGUCCUUGGAUACUGGCGGAAUCGAGGGAGGUAGAGGAGAGUGGAAUUCCACGUGUAGCAGUGAAAUGCGUAGAUAUGUGGAGGAACACCGAUGGCGAAGGCAGCCCCCUGGGUUAACACUGACGCUCAUGCACGAAAGCGUGGGGAGCAAACAGG